CCGGUGUGGCACGAGCGGCGCAGGGCCCGCACGUGCCCAUCCAUAGUAAAAAUAAAAUUACUUUCAAGUGAAAUAUGAUCGUGAAAGAUCAAGCGGCACCUCCGACCACCUUUGCUGGAUUUGUUGUCCAGGAAAUUUUCAGAAUUGCUUGUGCUGUACGCACGGUGCGGUUUAGGUGGGCUCAGCCAGGUGAGCUUGAUCGUGUUGAAGGGAAAGUUAACGGAAGGGAAGGAUCAUCUGCUCUGUUCACGCCGGACAGAAGUACUCCCAUUAGAGUGUAGCCGUCACCAAGUGCAUGGUGAAGCUUCCAGAUGAAAUGACCCGCUGCUUUGCUUGUUGGGUAUUUUAUAACAUGAAGUUCCCAUAAAGGCCUAUCCUGUGGUAAUGGAUCCACUGUUAUUUUUGUCAGAUAUUCAUCAAAGUACUUGUCGUAUGAUUCAACCGAUAAGCCAUCUGGGACGCUAGGGACGACAACAUGAUCUUGAAGGAUACACGAAGAUCACAAACAGUACUCAAAAAUAAGCAAAGAGCUAGAAUAGGGUCGGACAGCAAACCGCGGCAGCUCAGAUGUUGACAUUACUGCUAGAAUCUUGAAAUUAUGGAACUCUCAACCAAUCACAAAGCACUAUUUUUCUGGAAAUGUGGAGUUAUACUCAAUAAGACAAAGAGUAAUCUGCAACAAACUAACAAAGAGAUCAAAAGGGAUAACAUACCGCGCCUAGUUUUGUUUUGAUGAAUUUGAUUUGGUCAAGAGAAAAAGCAAGAGUGGAAACAUUGAUUGGAUUAAAAACCGGAUUCUUGUUUCCGGACCUGAUAGGUGUCUGAUCAUCAGAAAUGCAAGUGGUUUUCAUAAAACUCCAUCCCAAAUCAGAAGCUCCUUUGUAGAUUGCAGAUAAAGUUCUUAUUGGCAUCAAACUCAAACAACUUUUGGUAUUUUUCAUCUUAACUUCUGACAACUUCCCUCGAGUUGAAGGGAAAGUUAAAGGAAGGGAAGGAUCGUCUGCUCGUUUCACGCAGGAAAGAAGUGCUCCCAUCAGAGAGUACCCGUCACCAAGCGCGUGGUGAAGCUUGAAGAUCAUAUGCCCUGCUGCUUUACUUGUUGGGCAGUUUAUUAUGUGAAGUUCCCAUAAUGGCCUUUCUUCUGGCAGUGGCUCCGAGCUGAUUUUUGUCAGAUAUUCGUCAAAGAAAUUGUCGUAUGAUUCAGUAGACAAGCCUUCUGGGAAUCUGGGAAUGUUAACAUGAUCAUGAAGAUUGAAAAGAAGAUAAUUUACCAUAAUAGAUGAAAAUCUGGGGUUAAUGGGAAGGAACACGUCUCGAAGUUGCGGAACUAGACAUGAUUCAUCAAUGGGAACUUCAGAUUCUAGGAUGGCUAGAAUACAAGUGUUCAAAGUUUUGCUGCUUAAGUACUGUCCUGUAGGAGAUACAGGUUCAGUUUCAGAUUCAGGUUCAGGUGUGUAAAUGAGCCUGAUACGUUCGCGAACAAGCUCGAGCAAUUAUUUAAGGGCGUUUACUAAAUGAGGUUAAUUUACUCGUACACCUUGUUCUCUUCUACAACGUACUACGUACAUCUCAAAUUCGGUUUUUUUUAGCUUAAAUUGUUUUCACCAAUUUGCUACUGCAACCUUUUCAUUAAUUCGUACAAUUUAUUUAUACCAACAUAACUUAAUAUUGUUAAUCUUUUACUUGAUUCUGGUAUAGUUAUACAAGGAAUUAGUAAUUACAGAG